rnacentral:tRNA from 1 species
UAUAUUUUGGUGUAUGAAGCACUAAAGUUUUUGAUAUUUUUGGAAACAGUUUAAUUCUGUUAAAUAUAA